CUAGCGUUGCUCGGAAUCACUGGGCGUAAAGGGCGCGUAGGCGGAUCUUUAAGUCGGGGGUGAAAGCCUGUGGCUCAACCACAGAAUUGCCUUCGAUACUGGGGAUCUCGAGACCGGAAGAGGUGAGUGGAACUGCGAGUGUAGAGGUGAAAUUCGUAGAUAUUCGCAAGAACACCAGUGGCGAAGGCGGCUCACUGGUCCGGUUCUGACGCUGAGGCGCGAAAGCGUGGGGAGCAAACAGG
rnacentral:rRNA from 1 species